rnacentral:tRNA from 1 species
GGUGCCAUCGACGAAUCGGCUAAGUCACCUGCCUCUCAAGCAGGAGGUUGUGAGUUCAAAUCUCACUGGCAUCA